AUGCAUACAGUCGCAUUUCAGGCUUAUGAAAAUCUGCAAGAUGUUGUCGCUCGGCCAUCUUCUUCCAAAUCCAUGCUUACCGAGUACUUUCAGAUGAACCAAAAGUAUCCAGAGGCACGAAAAUUGUUGUACAGAGAGUUCCCAGAACAUUAUAGGUGGAUAUCCGGUAAUAAGAAGUGGCAACCGAGGAAAAAUAAGAGAUCACAGAUUGGAAGAUUGGUGCAUGCACACCCUGCUGAAGGAGAGAGGUACUACCUGAGGGUGCUCCUAAACCAUGUCCGAGGUGCCACUUCAUUUGAUGAUUUAAAAACAAUAAAUGGCAAGCCAUGCGGAUCCUUCAGAGAGGCGUGCGAGCAAUUAGGCCUCAUUGAGCAUGACAGGACACUUGAUGAUUGCAUGACAGAGGCAGCAACAUUUCAAAUGCCUUCUGCUCUUAGACGGUUGUUUGCGACUAUACUGGUAUUCUGUGAGGCAACACAAAUCCGUCAGUUGUGGGACAAACAUCUAGCAUCCAUGUCUGAAGAUUAUCGCCGUACUCAAUCGAAUGAGGCAGCACUAGAGCAAAUGGUCCUUAGGGAUAUUAGGGAUCUGUUGCAAUCCAUGGGAAAGAAUAUUAAACACUAUGGACUUCCGGAUCUGGUUGACGCAGAUGGUUCUUCUGACGUUGAGAAUAGAGAGGUAACAGAGGAGAGAGAGGUCACGGUGGACCAAGAACAUCUAGAUCUAUUUAGUUGUUUGAACAAUGAGCAACUAGCUGGUUUCAAUGACAUAAUGGAGCAUGUGACGAACCAGAAAAGCCAGAUUUUCUUCGUUGAUGGCCCAGGAGGCACUGGGAAGACGUACCUGUACAAGGCGUCCUUGAUAAUUUGGGAUGAAGUUGCUAUGACAAAGCGUCAAGCAGUUGAGACGCUUGAUAGAUCGCUACAGGAUAUAAUGGAAUGUCCUUUACCAUUUGGUGGAAAGGUUAUCGUCUUUGGUGGCGAUUUCAGGCAGGUACUCCCCGUUGUGACACGAGGGACAAGAGCACAGAUCACUGAUGCUACACUGUUGAGAUCCUAUCUGUGGCAGAAGAUCCGGAAGAUAUGCCUCACACGCAAUAUGCGGGCACAGACAGACCCUUGGUUCUCGGAAUACCUCCUACGGAUCGGCAAUGGAACGGAAGAAACAAUUGGCAACGACUAUGUGCAUCUCCCUGAAGACAUUGUGAUUGCUUAUACCGACGAUGAAGAACCUAUUAACAAGCUUAUCGAAGAUGUCUUCCCAUCCCUACACACCAAUGCUAGGUCGAGAGAGUACAUGAGCACACGUGCAAUUCUCUCGACCAAAAAUGAGCAUGUGGAUGACUUGAAUGACAAGAUGAUCUCCAGAUUUCCGGGCGAGGAAAAGGAUAAUGCAAUCGAUGCUGAGAUUGUUGGUGGCCAGCAUGCUGGAAAGAGGGUGUUCAUACCUAGGAUCCCUAUGUCGCACUCGGAGGACACCUCGCUUCCG
rnacentral:rRNA from 1 species